GUCAGUGUGGUGUAGUGGUUUGAGUGUUGGACUACAACUCUGGAGACCAGGGUUCGAUUCCCAGACCUGCUG